CCAUCUAUUGUUUGCCACGGAACUGCACCUUUUACUACUUGUCUGCCUAAAGACCUGGGGUGUGAUAGGCUCACUCAGAGAGGGGUGGGCCCUGUUCCAUCAACAAUUGAGCACUGCCCAUUCCUGCUGGGGUCAGGCACAGCUGAGGUUACAAAGCCAAACAGGUUCCUAAGACAGCAAACAAAAGUGCCAGACUUUCCUGAGGUCCUGAUGGAGCCCAAAGAUCACUAUGAACUGCAGACCUGGGAUGAUGCUCAGUCAAAGAGCAGUCAAGGAGUCCUUCAUGUCCUCAACCUCUUCUGCUUGUAAGCCUUUAAUUUGCAGAAAAGUCAUUAGUUGUAACCUUUUUACAGAACAGACAAAAGACCAGCUACUUCUGGAAAACAGUGUAGACAUGGAGGUGCCUGUCUGGAUUGCCUGCACAGGUUAGGGGGAACACGGGAGAGCCCAGCCAUGCUGGGUCAGCAGAGGGUGUGGAGCCCUGCAGCUCACUCACACUGGGGCAGACUGGAGGGAGGGAUGGUGCUGAACAAAGAGGGAUGGUGCUGCCCGUGCUUGUGGCUGUGGAUGCACUGUGGGAUCCCAGCUUGGAGAGCUUCAGCCUCCCUCUGACAGCACAACUGCAGCUGAUGCAGGGCCAGGGUACAGGCACGGCUUGAGCUGAUAGCUCUGGGCCUUCCUGAAUAGGACAAUUUGCAUUCCUUUCUUGGAAAGUGCCAUACAUAACUUUUCCAAUGAAUAUGCCUGGGCUAUUUUCAUUUUGUGAUUGCCAUCCUUACAAAUUUACUAUUUGCCAUUUCAUUUUCACUAGCAAGUGUGAACACAAAACACCCAAAGCCUUUGUAGCUUGCUUUACAGAGGAUUAUUUCAGGCCUAGAUGUAAUGUUUGGGAUCUGCAGUGAGAGAUAUGGCUUUCAAGAGGCAUCCCGACACUGACUUGGCAUUCAUGUCCCACCUGCUGAAUGCCAGUGGGAUCCUGUCCAUUGCUUUCACAGGCUUUGGAUCCUACCCAGAGCAUUCUCAAAGACAGACAGGAACUAGGAGUGUGGGCUGGAUUAGGAAAUCACAAACUGCUCUGAGAGAGGUUUUCUCUUUCAUCAAAAUUUUUUUGUCAACAUUUUCUGAACAACUCAAAAAUACUCUGGUAAUUAGAGAGUUUACAUAGUCCUGUACAGUAAUUUGUGGUAUAUAGCCAAACUAAAUUUUCAUACUAUAAUGCUUCCUAAAUAAUUUUAAAGUUCAUUGUAAAAUCGAGUGUUCUUUAAGCAUUUGUUUUGUAUUACACUAAUUUACUCUAAAAUCUAGUCUACAUGUUUCUAAAACUGUUAUACUACUUCCUAGCAGGGAUGUUGGUUACUGUCUCUUGCUCUCUUAUCCUACUCUGAUGUCAGAAUUUUGCAGCAGUUUUUAAUGUUUUACUCCUUCUUUAAGCAGAAUAAAACCCCCCAGUGUCUGUU